rnacentral:misc_RNA from 1 species
GUCGAAGGUGGGGCUGAUGACUGGGGUGAAGUCGUAACAAGGUAUCCGUACCGGAAGGUGCGGAUGGAUCACCUCCUAACAGGGAGACAAAACAAUGAUUUUGAUGUCUGAGUAAUUUAUUCUUAGGCCGAAAUCCUGUCACCUUAGGUCGAUCGGUACCUCAACAUUUUUUCAAAGACUGAUGAGCAAUCAUCAAGAGAUUGAAGGAGAUGUUCAGUUCCUAAACUUUGUCUAGGUCACACCCCGCAAGGGAAGAGUCCCCUGGGCCAUUAGCUCAGGUGGUUAGAGCGCACCCCUGAUAAGGGUGAGGUCCCUGGUUCAAGUCCAGGAUGGCCCAUUCGGUGUUGGGGGUUUAGCUCAGUUGGUAGAGCGCCUGCUUUGCAAGCAGGAUGUCAGGAGUUCGAGUCUCCUAACCUCCACUGACCGAACUCAAUCUCCAUUGUCCGGUUACCCGGAGGAUGAACUCGAGGGAAUGUGAUUUAGAUGUGUCCACUAGAUUGGACCCCAGCUUCCUGUCAUGCCAAAUGAGCAAAUUUUGCUUUAUUGGUUGAUAAGAUGCUGGGCUCAGAUUAAUCGAAAGAUUAAUUUGAUGUCUAGUAGAACCUUGACAACUGCAUAGGUAAGUCUGGAAAAACAAAGCAUCUUACAGAUGCAUUGUUUUAAGCCUGAAUUCU